rnacentral:rRNA from 1 species
UACGUAGGGCGCAAGCGUUAUCCGGAAUUAUUGGGCGUAAAGAGCUCGUAGGCGGUUUGUCGCGUCUGCCGUGAAAGUCCGGGGCUCAACUCCGGAUCUGCGGUGGGUACGGGCAGACUAGAGUGAUGUAGGGGAGACUGGAAUUCCUGGUGUAGCGGUGAAAUGCGCAGAUAUCAGGAGGAACACCGAUGGCGAAGGCAGGUCUCUGGGCAGUACCUGACGCUGAGGAGCGAAAGUGUGGGGAGCGAACAGG